AUAGACAUUAAUAAUUCUUCUAAUAUAAUCUCUGGUGACUGACAUAGAAGUAGACUUAAACAGAUAUUCAUAUAGGAUCUCUUAUGUAAUUUGUUUGUAGGCUUCUGCUGUUGUUUUGAUGCUCUGACAUCUCUAAUAACAAGUGUAGGGGGAGGUACUGGUUGCAGUGCAUGAGAUUAUCAUUAUUAUACUCCAGCUUAACUGAGUGAAGAUGCGUUCUUGCAACAUCAUAGCAAUCUCCGCAGAACAGAAAGUUAAAAAGCUUGAGCUGGCUCCUGUGACUUGUGAGGAGAACAGCUCUUGCGAGGAAGAAAGACAUCAAUGAACCUUUUCUUCUCGAAGUGACGACCAAAGUUUAUUGAUUUUUUUUUGGUGCAGAAAACAAAGUUGCAAUAACGUCACUGUCAAGUCUCAACACACUCAGGAGACAAUACCGAAGGAGAAUUGAAGUUGUGUGUGGAGAAGACUAUGAUACACGUACCUUUCACUCUUUAACCUUGUCCAUGGCGAUAGUCCACCUGGCUUGUCUAUGUGGCCUGUACACAAUUAUUAUUUUGUAAUUUUUCGUUGUUAUGGUAUUUUAGGGUUUCAAUGCAUUGAUUUUCAUUUUGAGGUUUAUGUGUAACCGAGGGGAUGGAUUGGAUAUGUUAUUAGCCAAUUAAUAUGGUUGAUAUUGAAAUAUUAAUUGGGACCUAGCCUAAA